rnacentral:rRNA from 1 species
GGGUGGAGCCUGCGGUUUAAUCGGACUCAACGCCGGAAAUCUCACCGGAUAAGACAGCUGAAUGAUAGUCGGGAUGAAGACUCUACUUGACUAGCUGAGAGGAGGUGCAUGGCCGUCGUCAGUUCGUACUGUGAAGCAUCCUGUUUAGUCAGGCAACGAGCGAGACCCACGCGAGCAGUUGCCAGCUUGACCUUCGGGUUGAUGGGGACACUGCUGGGACCGCCUCUGCUAAAGGGGAGGAAGGAAUGGGCAACGGUAGGUCAGCAUGCCCCGAAUUAUCCGGGCUACACGCGGGCUACAAUGGACAGGACAAUGGGUUUCGACACCGAGAGGUGAGGAUAAUCUCCUAAACCUGUCUGAAGUUCGGAUUGCGCGUGUAGCUCAUACCGUCGCGAGGGCUCACACCGGCC